GAUGAGAACGUAGCGAAAUGCGAUACGUAGUGUGAAUUGCAGAAUUCAGUGAAUCAUCGAAUCUUUGAACGCACAUUGCACCUCUCGGUAUUCCGGGAGGUAUGCCUGUUCGAGCGUCAUUUGUACCCUCAAGCUCUGCUUGGUGUUGGGUGUUUGUUCCGCCUCUGUGUGUGAACUCGCCUCAAAACAAUUGGCAGCCGGCGUACUUGUUUCGGAGCGCAGCACAUUUUGCGAUCCAGAUCAACGUACAGCGGCAUCCAAGAAGCCUUAUUUAACGCUCUUGACCUCGGAUCAGGUAGGGAUACCCGCUGAACUUAAGCAUAUCAAUAAGCGGGGA
rnacentral:misc_RNA from 1 species